rnacentral:rRNA from 1 species
AUGAACGCUGGCGGCGUGCUUAACACAUGCAAGUCGAACGAGCCUUCGGGCUAGUGGCGGACGGGUGAGUAACGCGUGGGAAUCUGCCCUCAGGAGGGGGAUAACGGCCGGAAACGGCCGCUAAUACCCCAUAUGCCGAGAGGUGAAAUGAAUUUCGCCUGAGGAUGAGCCCGCGUCUGAUUAGCUAGUUGGUGGGGUAAUGGCCCACCAAGGCGACGAUCAGUAGCUGGUCUGAGAGGAUGAUCAGCCACACUGGGACUGAGACACGGCCCAGACUCCUACGGGAGGCAGCAGUGGGGAAUUUUCCGCAAUGGGCGAAAGCCUGACGGAGCAACGCCGCGUGAGGGAUGAAGGCCUCUGGGCUGUAAACCUCUUUUCUCAAGGAAGAAGACAUGACGGUACUUGAGGAAUAAGCCACGGCUAAUUCCGUGCCAGCAGCCGCGGUAAUACGGGAGUGGCAAGCGUUAUCCGGAAUUAUUGGGCGUAAAGCGUCCGCAGGCGGCCUUGUAAGUCUGUCGUUAAAGCGUGGAGCUUAACUCCAUUUAAGCGAUGGAAACUACAAGGCUUGAGUGUGGUAGGGGCAGAGGGAAUUCCCGGUGUAGCGGUGAAAUGCGUAGAUAUCGGGAAGAACACCAGUGGCGAAGGCGCUCUGCUGGGCCAUAACUGACGCUCAUGGACGAAAGCCAGGGGAGCGAAAGGGAUUAGAUACCCCUGUAGUCCUGGCCGUAAACGAUGAACACUAGGUGUCGGGGGAAUCGACCCCCUCGGUGUCGUAGCUAACGCGUUAAGUGUUCCGCCUGGGGAGUACGCACGCAAGUGUGAAACUCAAAGGAAUUGACGGGGGCCCGCACAAGCGGUGGAGUAUGUGGUUUAAUUCGAUGCAACGCGAAGAACCUUACCAGGGUUUGACAUCCUGCGAAUCCCUUGGAAACGAGGGAGUGCCUUCGGGAGCGCAGAGACAGGUGGUGCAUGGCUGUCGUCAGCUCGUGUCGUGAGAUGUUGGGUUAAGUCCCGCAACGAGCGCAACCCACGUCUUUAGUUGCCAGCAUUCAGUUGGGCACUCUAGAGAGACCGCCGGUGAUAAACCGGAGGAAGGUGUGGAUGACGUCAAGUCAUCAUGCCCCUUACAUCCUGGGCUACACACGUACUACAAUGCUACGGACAAAGGGUUGCAAGCUCGCGAGAGUUAGCUAAUCCCAUAAACCGUGGCUCAGUUCAGAUCGUAGGCUGCAACUCGCCUACGUGAAGGAGGAAUCGCUAGUAAUCGCAGGUCAGCAUACUGCGGUGAAUACGUUCCCGGGCCUUGUACACACCGCCCGUCACACCAUGGAAGUUGGCCAUGCCCGAAGUCGUUACUCCAACCCUUGUGGAGGAGGACGCCGAAGGUGGGGCUGAUGACUGGGGUGAAGUCGUAACAAGGUAGCCGUACCGGAAGGUGCGGCUGGAUCACCUCCU